CGCGGAUGUAAAUAUUGUUUAACAUCUCCUGACUUAUAGUGCAAACUGUGACAUUCAAAAGUGAGCAUAAAAAGUUUUAUCUUUAAAAAUGUUUCAUUCUGUGUUUGUUGGAAGUUGGAAGACCUUUCUGCAGGUAUUCAUAUAUUACCUGUCCUCUGAUAAAACCUGAUCAAACUCAGAAGAGGAGACUAGGAAAAGUAUUGAUGUGACAGAAUCAAAGCAUUGUGUCCAUUUCUGGCGUUGUGUCCUUUGGCCACCAACAUCAACAAACAAAAAUGGUGUCAAUUUAAAGCGUAGCCAGCAUGUAAAUGCCUCUGGACAACAAGAGCACGACCACAUUUCGGUAGCCAUUUUAGCCACAGAUUCAGUUUAUAAGCGUAAGUUUCAGCGAUCCACUUAUCCCUGAG